rnacentral:rRNA from 1 species
UACGUAGGGUGGCAAGCGUUGUCCGGAUUUACUGGGCGUAAAGGGCGUGCAGGCGGUCUGUUAAGUGCAGGGUAGAAAGCUCCCGGCUCAACUGGGAGAGGUCCUUGCAUACUGGCGGACUUGAGGGGGGUAGAGGAAAGUGGAAUUCCCGGUGUAGUGGUGAUAUGCGUAGAUAUCGGGAGGAACACCUGUGGCGAAGGGCGGCUUUCUGGGCCCGUACCUGACGCUGAGACGCGAAAGCGUGGGGAGCGAACCGG